CAUGAGGACCUUUUCAAAUGAAG
rnacentral:piRNA from 1 species